rnacentral:tRNA from 6 species
CGCGGGGUAGAGCAGCUUGGUAGCUCGUCGGGCUCAUAACCCGGAGGUCGAAGGUUCAAAUCCUUCCCCCGCAACCA